UACGGAGGGUGCAAGCGUUAUCCGGAUUCACUGGGUUUAAAGGGUGCGUAGGUGGAUCUGUAAGUCAGUGGUGAAAUCUCCAAGCUUAACUUGGAAACUGCCGUUGAUACUAUAGAUCUUGAAUGCUGUGGAGGUGAGCGGAAUAUGUCAUGUAGCGGUGAAAUGCUUAGAUAUGACAUAGAACACCAAUUGCGAAGGCAGCUCACUACACAAUCAUUGACGCUGAGGCACGAAAGCGUGGGGAUCAAACAGG
rnacentral:rRNA from 1 species